UGGGGAAUAUUGCACAAUGGGCGCAAGCCUGAUGCAGCAACGCCGCGUGAACGAUGAAGGUCUUCGGAUCGUAAAGUUCUGUUGCAGGGGAAGAUAAUGACGGUACCCUGUGAGGAAGCCCCGGCUAACUACGUGCCAGCAGCCGCGGUAAUACGUAGGGGGCUAGCGUUGUCCGGAAUCACUGGGCGUAAAGGGUUCGCAGGCGGAAUGCAAGUCAGGUGUAAAAGGCAGUAGCUUAACUACUGUAAGCAUUUGAAACUGCAUAUCUUGAGAAGAGUAGAGGUAAGUGGAAUUUUUAGUGUAGCGGUGAAAUGCGUAGAUAUUAAAAAGAAUACCGGUGGCGAAGGCGACUUACUGGGCUCAUUCUGACGCUGAGGAACGAAAGCGUGGGUAGCAAACAGG
rnacentral:rRNA from 1 species